rnacentral:rRNA from 1 species
CAAUAGCGUAUAUUUAAGUUGUUGCAGUUAAAAAGCUCGUAGUUGGAUUUCGGAUGGGAUCUGCCGGUCCGUCUUUGAGAUGUGUACUGGUAGGUCCUAUCUUGUUGUCGGGGACCAGCUCCUGGGCUUCACUGUCCGGGACUGGGAGCCGACGAAGUCACUUUGAGUAAAUUAGAGUGUUCAAAGCAAGCCUACGCUCUGAAUAUAUUAGCAUGGAAUAACACGAUAGGACUCUGGCUUAUCUUGUUGGUCUGUGAGACCAGAGUAAUGAUUAAGAGGGACAGUCGGGGACAUUUGUAUUUCGGUGCUAGAGGUGAAAGUCUUAGAUUACCGAAAGACAAACUGCUGCGAAAGCGUCUGCCAAGGAUGUUUUCAUUGA